rnacentral:rRNA from 1 species
GUGAGGAAUAUUGGUCAAUGGGCGCAAGCCUGAACCAGCCAUGCCGCGUGCAGGAAGACGGUCCUAUGGAUUGUAAACUGCUUUUAUUUGGGAAUAAACUCCGGUACGUGUACCGGCCUGAAGGUACCAAAUGAAUAAGCACCGGCUAACUCCGUGCCAGCAGCCGCGGUAAUACGGAGGGUGCAAGCGUUAUCCGGAAUCAUUGGGUUUAAAGGGUCCGCAGGCGGUCUUAUAAGUCAGUGGUGAAAGCCUACAGCUCAACUGUAGAACUGCCAUUGAUACUGUAGGACUUGAAUUCGAUCGAAGUGGGCGGAAUGUGACAUGUAGCGGUGGAAUGCUUAGAUAUGUCACAGAACACCGAUAGCGAAGGCAGCUCACUAGGUCUGGAUUGACGCUCAGGGACGAAAGCGUGGGGAGCAAACAGGAUUAGAUACCCCAGUAGUCC